rnacentral:rRNA from 1 species
GACGAACGCUGGCGGCGUGCUUAACACAUGCAAGUCGAACGGAGAGGCCCUGCUUUUGUGGGGUGCUCGAGUGGCGAACGGGUGAGUAACACGUGAGUAACCUGCCCUUGACUUUGGGAUAACUUCAGGAAACUGGGGCUAAUACCGGAUAGGAGCUCCUGCUGCAUGGUGGGGGUUGGAAAGUUUCGGCGGUUGGGGAUGGACUCGCGGCUUAUCAGCUUGUUGGUGGGGUAGUGGCUUACCAAGGCUUUGACGGGUAGCCGGCCUGGGAGGGUGACCGGCCACAUUGGGACUGAGAUACGGCCCAGACUCCUACGUGAGGCAGCAGUGGGGAAUAUUGCACAAUGGGCGGAAGCCUGAUGCAGCAACGCCGCGUGCGGGAUGACGGCCUUCGGGUUGUAAACCGCUUUCGCCUGUGACGAAGCGUGAGUGACGGUAAUGGGUAAAGAAGCAACGGCUAACUACGUG